rnacentral:lncRNA from 1 species
CUUAUAAGCUCAUUAGGGGGGUAUUUAAAGACAUAAUGCCUCUGAAACCAACCAAUGUUCAAUAAAUAGCUAUUGUUAAUGCACUGUAAAGAGAACUCUUGAAAGAGUGUCACAAUCAUUUAAGCUUUAGCGAAGCAUCCACAUAAGUAUUUAUAAAGUGCUUCAAAUAUACCACAUAUGCUCCAAGCCAACUUACCGUUAGUGUAAGGUCAUUGCAGAGCUUUGGGCUUUAACUAAACUUAUAGCACUGCUGGGGAAUCUAAUUUAAUUGAGAUGUAUUCUAAUUUGGGUUACACUUUUUUCCUAAUUUAAUUCCUCAUGCCUUGUAUUUUCACAUAGUUGUGAGUGUAUAAAUUAUUAAUCGAGUCACUUUGUUUGAUUAUAUUCUUUCCGGCAUUGCUCAUCAGUGCUAAUAUGCUUAAAUGUUGGUCUUGGUGGUUGCUGAAAGCAAGUUAUAUGGGAGGGACACACCCUCGUCGACCCAAAUUGAAUCCAAGUGCUGCUUUGUUCAGGAGGCCCCGUAACACGGGGCUCUGCACCUCAUGUCUGGCCACUUCUGCCUGCUGGUUUCAGUGCCACCAUCUCUCCGUCUCUCCGGAGGGUCUAAAGCCGGGGAGGAGUCUGGGAUGCCCUCGGAGGCUGUCGGCUUUCCCGUGCUGCACGCCUCUUGCUCUGCUCAUCAGGACCAGUGCAAGGCAGCGUGGUCUGUGGACUUGGGCCACCCUGCAGAUACUCACAGCUGUUCUACGUGGUUUUCAGGAUCUUGGUUCCCUGACUAGGAACGGAAGCCAGGUCAAGGCAGCGAAAGUCCUAUCCUGUAAGCCAACAGGGAACUCUCCAGAAUGUCUUCACCUUUAAAGUUAGCCCAAUUUAUUGCAAAUUCUUCCUUGCUUUAAAAUAGGAAUGUUCUUUUUUUAAAAAAAAUGUGAGAAAUACUUUAUGUUGGCC